rnacentral:lncRNA from 1 species
UUAUGGUUAUUGUUAAACACUACUUCUCACAAAGAAUGAAAAUAAACAAGUAUUGCAACUGAAUUUCGGGAGGCUGAAGAGUUUCCACCGUAAAAUUUCGAAUGAUAUUUCAUUCAUGGAGGACGCAUCGAUAGGAUGUAGGCUAUUUGGCGUGGGACCGGGGACUAAAUCUGAAGACAACCUUACCAACGGGAAGAUUACGGGCUCAGCUAGACAUUUUAACGAUCGGAACUGCUGAAACUUAAUAUAGAUAUUUUUAAAGUAUACAUUAAAAAGCAUCGAUAAUUUAUUUUGGUGGUAUUCUACCAGGACCACGGGCAUACUGUGCUGUAAAACGAACUCACGAGUAAGGCCAUCCGGAACCAUUAUUUAAAAAUGCAGACUCUGUAAUAAUCAUUAUGUUUCAACUCUUAAUAUAACGAAUACUUAAUUCAGUGUUGGAUCCAAUACAGCAGUUGGAUUGUUAGGAUGAGCCAUUUUGCAGCACGUUCCAGCAAAAUGGCAUGCCGAGAGAGGCAAGACACAAAUUAUACAAGCCAGAUGUUCAUACCCGAAUGGCUCAUGACGUUCUCAUCCAGACACAACAUACGGAAGAGGUCUGACACCAAACUUCUUUAUAGAUUCCGCAGACGCCAUUUUACUUUUCCGGCUCUAUUAUGUAUAACAGAGGAAAAGUUUGACGCUGGAUUAAAAAAUAAUCCCUAAGAUUCUUACAUUUUUAGACUCGGUCGACCUUAAAACGUUGAUAAAUGCAAAAAAAUCUGAGUUUUCUGUUUGUGUGGAUAGUAGUGUUUGUGUGUAAAAUCCAGUAACAUAUCUUUCUUUUAGAUUACAUAUCAUUGCUAUCACUGUCAAUAUUUAAUAAUACUAUUUGAAUCCUUGCCAUCCUAUAUCUACCUAUUUUGUACCUCUUACUCACUAUCCUGUAAUUACCUCUAACAAGUUAGUCAAAUGGCUCCCUACCAGUGGCUAAUGUAUAGAAUCGUUGGAAGCGUUAUACGAUAUUUUGGUGUGUAGCUUCCACCAGCUAAACCACCAGAGGUUGAUGCUAUGUAAAGCGCAUCCGCAAAUCUGUCUGCUUUACACCAUUCAGUUAUUUUCGCCUUGAAAGCUUUCCCGUGUUCGACAAUACGGCGCUUCCAUUGGGAAUAAGAAUAUACAAAUUUAUA